UACAGAGGGUGCAAGCGUUAAUCGGAAUUACUGGGCGUAAAGCGUGCGUAGACGGUUGCGUAAGUCAGAUGUGAAAGCCCCGGGCUCAACCUGGGAAUUGCAUUUGAGACUGCGUAGCUAGGGUGCGGAAGAGGGAAGCGGAAUUUCCGGUGUAGCGGUGAAAUGCGUAGAUAUCUGGAGGAACACCGGUGGCGAAGGCGGCAUCCUGGACCGGCAUUGACGCUGAGGCGCGAAAGCCAGGGGAGCAAACGGG
rnacentral:rRNA from 1 species